AUGCCAACUUGGAGACCUACUUGACUGAGAUGACACACAAGUUGGAACAAAAUAUAAGUAUGGAACUACAAGAAGGUCUUGCUGAAUUAGAAUCUGGAUGCUCUUCUCUAGAAAAGCUUCUCCUCUAGGAUCCACUGAUGAGGCAGAUAUAAAUCAAGAUAUACUUUGGACAGCAUCAUCACAAUAUGUACCAUUUUUGAAAAAUUCUAUGAUCUGAAAGACUUUUAAGUGGAUCUUGCAAAUAAAAAGCAGUUUUACCUCCUUA